GUUUGCGUGAUGACUUGGAUUGUCGGAUACCCCUUCACCCCGUACCUCGUUCAUGGGUGAGAAACCGCUAGUCUGACAAAC